rnacentral:rRNA from 1 species
UACAGAGGAGGCAAGCGUUAUUCGGAAUUAUUGGACGUAAAGAGCGCGUAGGCGACUUUGCAAGUGACGGAUGAAAUCCCUCGGCUUAACCGAGGAACUGCCUGUCAAACUGCAUGGCUUGAGACCGGGAGAGGUGAGUGGAAUUCCCAGUGUAGCGGUGAAAUGCGUAGAUAUUGGGAGGAACACCAGUGGCGAAGGCGACUCACUGGACCGGUACUGACGCUGAUGCGCGAAAGCGUGGGGAGCAAACAGG